UACAUAUAAACAAAAGUUUAUUGGGCUACCUGAUAUUUCCUCUAAAUGUUUUUAUUUUUUUUUGACAAAACAAAUACUAAAUUUUCAUGCAUUACUGUAUACAGAAUUAUUCAUUUCAUUUUUUUUUUAUACUCUAUCGGCUGAUCCGGUCAGUUUUAGUAAAAACGCACCAAUAUGCUACAAAGUGGACUAUUCCCGAUCCAGGUAGAGUUAGACCACCACACUACCAGAUUCGAGUUUGAAAUGUCUUUCGACUAAUGUUAUAGAAUAAUCAGGUCGUCUCCAUUUCUUACUACCAUAUAAACUAAUUAAAGCACGACCCAACCGAUAAAUUUUCCAAAUAAAUAUAAUUUUAUUCUAAGAAAGAAUCGAAUUUAGAUAUGGGAGU
rnacentral:sRNA from 1 species